GUUAAUGAUAUCGUGUGCCCCACAUUUCGUGCAGCAUGUCAAGAGCUAAAUUUGCUUGAAAACGAUACUCAUUGGGCACGACAAUCGCUGAAGCAAUUAUUUCUGCAUCACCAAGUCAGAUACGCACAUUAUUUGCUUUCAUCAUUUCAACAUGCUUCCCAUCGAACCCACUUGACCUGUGCAACAAAUACAAAGAUAACAUGUCCGAAGAUAUUUUACAUCGAAUUCGCGUCAGCUCAAGAAAUUACGAUCUUGAGGUGAAUGAGGAGAUCCAUAACCAGACUUUGAUCUUGAUCGAAGAUAUGUGUUACCUCAUGUGCGGCAGUUUGUUAGUUAGGUUAGGAAUGCCAGCGCCAGAUCGCGGAAUGAAUGACGCAUUUAAUAGAGAAUUGGAACGUGAACAUGAAUAUGAUCCACAUGAACUAAUCCAAUCAAUUCAAACGAAUGUACCUCUGUUGAAUCCUAGGCAGAGGGAAGUCUAUGAUACACUGAUUAACGCAAUUGAUAAUGGAAAUGGCGGCUUAUUUUUUUUGGAUGCCCCCGGUGGAACUGGGAAGCCAUUCCUCAUGUCAUUGAUUUGGCCACUGUACGUGCGAGAUCCGAAAUUGCGGUAGCAAUUGCUUCUUCUGGAAUAGCGGCCACAUUGUUAGACGGAUGCCGUACGGCUCACUCAGCGUUAAAAUUGCCAUUAAACCUUCAAACUACUGAACAACCGACAUGUAACAUUUCGAAAAACUCCGCAAUGGCCAAAGUUUUAGUAGCAU
rnacentral:lncRNA from 1 species